GAUGAACGCUGGCGGCGUGCUUAACACAUGCAAGUCGAACGGUGAAGGCGGAGCUUGCUCUGCUGGAUCAGUGGCGAACGGGUGAGUAACACGUGAGCAAUCUGCCCCUGACUCUGGGAUAAGCGCUGGAAACGGCGUCUAAUACUGGAUACGAGCUGCGAAGGCAUCUUCAGCAGCUGGAAAGAAUUUCGGUCAGGGAUGAGCUCGCGGCCUAUCAGCUUGUUGGUGAGGUAAUGGCUCACCAAGGCGUCGACGGGUAGCCGGCCUGGGAGGGUGACCGGACACACUGGGACUGAGACACGACCCAGACUCCUACGGGAGGCAGCAGUGGGGAAUAUUGCACAAUGGGCGAAAGCCUGAUGCAGCAACGCCGCGUGAGGGACGACGGCCUUCGGGUUGUAAACCUCUUUUAGCAGGGAAGAAGCGAAAGUGACGGUACCUGCAGAAAAAGCGCCGGCUAACUACGUG
rnacentral:rRNA from 1 species